AAGACACUAAUAAAAUUUUAUUAUACAGCUUUGUCAAGGCUAAAUUGCGAGCUAGCUCCUCGCGUGUCUUA
rnacentral:tRNA from 1 species